AACCGCACUCAAGGCACAUUCACAUGCAGAGCAAAUGACGCUUGCUACUUGGGAAACCUAACAUCUACCGGUAAGAUGUACCGGUGCAGAGGAUGUCUUAAAAUCCGAGGAAGGGUGAUCAGCCCGGGGGUGUUGGUUCAAGGAUCAACAGUAACCUUUAAUUCUGCAGCGCGCAUCUGUGCAUACCAUCAGGGGAAUGGUACUUGCAUACAAAAUGGCACAAAUUGGAGUAUGAAGGUUGAUCGCGAUUUCCGGAUCAGGAAUGGAACUGUAAUCACAGGAGGAUACGCCUAUUUGUACAUAUUCUGGGUGCUGCCCGACACAGCUAGAGCUACGCAGACAGCUGUAGCUCCCCUGGUUCACACUUGUCAACAAAUGGGACAAAUAAGGGUAGCCGAAUAUGUGCGAUGGACUGUGAAAUUCCCUCCUAUUCCGCCUUGUAACAGGAGGAGGCGAGCAUGGUAUGACACCGUGCUAGGAGGAACUGGAACUUUGUAUGGUCUGGCUAACACAGCAGACAAUGAGGUGACACGAACUAUGCUGUCCAACACUGGAGAAUACACCGCACAAGCUGUCACCAAGACUGCAAGAUGGAUGCCUUCGACUGUAUCUAGUCAGUUAGAAGGAAGUGAUGUGUGGAAAAGUGUAUUUAAAUGGAAUCUAAAGCUUUGGAAUGAAACUUAUGAUGCAUUGCAUAAUUUGUCACACAUAGGUAAUUGGACAGUCUGUUCCUUGCAGACUAUUCAUGCUGAGACACAGAGAAAUAGGUUUCAAAUACAGGUAAUGAGUAAUAACUAUCAUGCAUGGCGAACAUUAUGGAACAUCAGUAGUUCAUUAUGGCUACAGCUACAUGCAGAAAUGACGAUUUGUAAUAAAUCUAUGUGUACUGGAUACUGGGAUCAGUAUAAUAUGACAUCAGUAAUGACUGUGUGUAGAUAUCAGAUACUGCCGGUGAUAACCACUAAAGGGUUUUGGUAUCUCCAUGUUAGUGGAGAGUGGUGGGAUGUUAAAACAAAUCGAACAUAUGAAGUAAAACACUGUGAUGAGAUUGAUAAGGGUUUAGCCUGCCCAUUGGUAAAAGGACAUAGCAAUCCAUGUUUCACUGAUUCAAGGGUCGUACUCUGUGAUUGGACGGUCACACCCCCAGAGGAACAGUUUUGGCAGGUGGGUCCUAACACCUUAUGCGUGGCUACAAUGACCAAUUCCCCACAGGUACCUUCAGUUCCCUUUUCAGGUUGUCUCAAGGGUAUACAUAUGUGGGAAUGGAAUAACGUGACCUAUUGGUUGAGUAAUUACACUGUAUCUAGUCGGCUGACUAAGAUACAAUGGGAGGUUUUACACUCCCCUUGGACACUCUCACUGGAACGAUUCAAAUGCGCAUUGGAUGGUUCCACUGAAGUGGCAAAAUUGAUUGACUCUCAUAGGUCCAACCUUUCCAGGCUCAUGGUGUCUACUCUUGUGACACAAGGGGAAAUAAAACAUGUUGCUACAUUGAUUGAACAGGCUUCCGCUCACCAUUGGUGGGAUAUAUUUACAGGCAUGUCGAGUACCGCUAAUAAAGUGCUAAUUCCACCUAUGAUUGCAGCAUUAAUUAUAAUCAGCAUUCUAACAUUGUGUAAUCUUAUUAUUUGUUGGUAUGUUAUUCGAUUAAGAAGAGAAAUAAAUUGGGUAAUAAUGCAAAGACUACGAUGAAAAUUAAAGUGGAACUACAAGGUAUGUUAUAAAUGACGUUGGUUUUGAUGGGGAAAUGGUGAUGGAUAUGUUACAUAAAUUAGAUGAAAAGUUCAAGAGUGGAAUGUAAUAAAAAUGAACUUGUCAUCUGUUGUAUAAUUGCUUUAUACAAGUUAUUGAUCACUACUGUUUGUCAAUCACACUUAUCAUGAGGAUGUAAUCAAGGAGAGCCGAACAUAAUGUGAUCAUGAGGAUGUAAUCAAGGUAAUCCUGGUGGAGGUGUGCAGCUUUGCACGCACAUCAGGGAAUGUAUAAGGAGCAGAGCAGAGCUCAGAGCGGUUAGAGCUGUUUGAAGGAUUCUAUUUGACGAGGUUCAUGGAUUACGUUUUCUAACUGGGGUGUUCAGCUCUCCACCCAUAAGCAACGGUGAGUCACAGCUGGAGAGCUUUUCUGCUUUUCGCGGUGUGCUUGCAUCUGGCCAGCUGUGCUGUGGUCAUCUACUGGUCCUGCUGCCAG